rnacentral:rRNA from 1 species
GACGAACGCUGGCGGCGUGCUUAACACAUGCAAGUCGAACGGAAAGGCCUUUUCGGAGGUACUCGAGUGGCGAACGGGUGAGUAACACGUGGGUGAUCUGCCCUGCACUCUGGGAUAAGCUUGGGGAACUGGGUCUAAUACCGGAUAGGACCGCACUUUAGUGUGUGUGGUGGAAAGUUUUUUCGGUGUAGGAUGAGCCCGCGGCCUAUCAGCUUGUUGGUGGGGUAAUGGCCUACCAAGGCGGCGACGGGUAGCCGGACUGAGAGGUUGGUCGGCCACAUUGGGACUGAGAUACGGCCCAGACUCCUACGGGAGGCAGCAGUGGGGAAUAUUGCACAAUGGGCGCAAGCCUGAUGCAGCGACGCCGCGUGGGGGAUGACGGCCUUCGGGUUGUAAACUCCUUUCGCCAGGGACGAAGCGUUUUGUGACGGUACCUGGAGAAGAAGCACCGGCUAACUACGUG